GCUCCAGGUUUUGUUGCUGGACCAGCGCCACGUUCCGCUCCAGUUCCACCUUCUGCUUCUCAGUGAGCUCCCCUGAUGGUGACAGGGACGCUAGUGAGGCAUCGCCCUGCUUGGGUUCCCACUAGACCCCGACCCACAAGAAAACCGUGGGAGGCUGCCGGCACCUGCACAGAUGCCCGGGACCGACUUCUAGCUGCUUGCAUGUCCCGAGUCCUCUGGAGCCCUCUCUGCUCAGGUGGAGUAUGCGGAUCAGUUCUCUCACCCGCAGAGCCACCAACCAACCCCCCAACUGAUAUUUUUAACAACAAGCUUUCCAACUCUGAAACCACAUCGCGUUUCUUUGUCAAAGUACGACAGGAUGUCUGUCAGUCACACAAACCUCUCA